rnacentral:rRNA from 1 species
UACGGAGGGUGCGAACGUUUAAUCGGAAUCACUGGGCGUAAAGCGCGCGUAGGCGGUCCGUUAAGUGGGAUGUGAAAUCCCCCGGGCUUAACCUGGGAAUUGCAUUUCAAACUGGCGGACUAGAGUGCGGUAGAGGGAGGUAGAAUUUCCUGUGUAGCGGUGAAAUGCGUAGAUAUAGGAAGGAAUACCAGUGGCGAAGGCGGCCUCCUGGAUCGACACUGACGCUGAGGCGCGAAA